UACAGGGGGGGCAAGCGUUGUUCGGAAUUACUGGGCGUAAAGGGUUCGUAGGCGGCCAACUAAGUCACACGUGAAAUCCCCAGGCUUAACCUGGGAACUGCGUGUGAUACUGGAUGGCUUGAAUCCGGGAGAGGAAUGUGGAAUUCCAGGUGUAGCGGUGAAAUGCGUAGAUAUCUGGAGGAACACCGGUGGCGAAGGCGGCAUUCUGGACCGGUAUUGACGCUGAUGAACGAAAGCCAGGGAAGCAAACGGG
rnacentral:rRNA from 1 species